rnacentral:rRNA from 1 species
UACGUAGGGACUGAGCGUUGUCCGGAAUCAUUGGGCGUAAAGAGCGUGUAGGCGGCCACUUAAGUCCUGCGUGAAAUCUUGCGGCUCAACCGCAAGCGGUCGUGGGAAACUGGGUGGCUAGAGUGCGGGAGAGGAGAGUGGAAUUCCUGGUGUAGCGGUGGAAUGCGCAGAUAUCAGGAAGAACACCCGUGGCGAAGGCGGCUCUCUGGACCGAGACUGACGCUGAGGCGCGAAAGCGUGGGGAGCAAACAGG